rnacentral:rRNA from 1 species
UCAAGUGAAUAAGUGCAUCAGGCGGAUGCCUUGGCGAUGAUAGGCGACGAAGGACGUGUAAGCCUGCGAAAAGCGCGGGGGAGCUGGCAAUAAAGCUAUGAUUCCGCGAUGUCCGAAUGGGGAAACCCACUGCAUUCUGUGCAGUAUCCUAAGUUGAAUACAUAGGCUUAGAGAAGCGAACCCGGAGAACUGAACCAUCUAAGUACCCGGAGGAAAAGAAAUCAACCGAGAUUCCGCAAGUAGUGGCGAGCGAACGCGGAGGAGCCUGUACGUAAUAACUGUCGAGAUAGAAGAACAAGCUGGGAAGCUUGACCAUAGCGGGUGACAGUCCCGUAUUCGAAAUCUCAACAGCGGUACUAAGCGUACGAAAAGUAGGGCGGGACACGUGAAAUCCUGUCUGAAUAUGGGGGGGCCAUCCUCCAAGGCUAAAUACUCAUCAUCGACCGAUAGUGAACCAGUACCGUGAGGGAAAGGCGAAAAGAACCCCGGGAGGGGAGUGAAACAGAACCUGAAACCUGAUGCAUACAAACAGUGGGAGCGCCCUAGUGGUGUGACUGCGUACCUUUUGUAUAAUGGGUCAACGACUUACAUUCAGUAGCGAGCUUAACCGGAUAGGGGAGGCGUAGGGAAACCGAGUCUUAAUAGGGCGAUGAGUUGCUGGGUGUAGACCCGAAACCGAGUGAUCUAUCCAUGGCCAGGUUGAAGGUGCCGUAACAGGUACUGGAGGACCGAACCCACGCAUGUUGCAAAAUGCGGGGAUGAGCUGUGGGUAGGGGUGAAAGGCUAAACAAACUCGGAGAUAGCUGGUUCUCCCCGAAAACUAUUUAGGUAGUGCCUCGAGCAAGACACUGAUGGGGGUAAAGCACUGUUAUGGCUAGGGGGUUAUUGCAACUUACCAACCCAUGGCAAACUCAGAAUACCAUCAAGUGGUUCCUCGGGAGACAGACAGCGGGUGCUAACGUCCGUUGUCAAGAGGGAAACAACCCAGACCGCCGGCUAAGGUCCCAAAUGAUAGAUUAAGUGGUAAACGAAGUGGGAAGGCACAGACAGCCAGGAUGUUGGCUUAGAAGCAGCCAUCAUUUAAAGAAAGCGUAAUAGCUCACUGGUCGAGUCGUCCUGCGCGGAAGAUGUAACGGGGCUCAAAUCUAUAACCGAAGCUGCGGAUGCCGGUUUACCGGCAUGGUAGGGGAGCGUUCUGUAGGCUGAUGAAGGUGCAUUGUAAAGUGUGCUGGAGGUAUCAGAAGUGCGAAUGUUGACAUGAGUAGCGAUAAAGCGGGUGAAAAGCCCGCUCGCCGAAAGCCCAAGGUUUCCUACGCAACGUUCAUCGGCGUAGGGUAAGUCGGCCCCUAAGGCGAGGCAGAAAUGCGUAGUCGAUGGGAAACAGGUUAAUAUUCCUGUACUUGAUUCAAAUGCGAUGUGGGGACGGAGAAGGUUAGGUUGGCAAGCUGUUGGAAUAGCUUGUUUAAGCCGGUAGGUGGAAGACUUAGGCAAAUCCGGGUUUUCUUAACACCGAGAAGUGAUGACGAGUGUCUACGGACACGAAGCAACCGAUACCACGCUUCCAGGAAAAGCCACUAAGCUUCAGUUUGAAUCGAACCGUACCGCAAACCGACACAGGUGGGCAGGAUGAGAAUUCUAAGGCGCUUGAGAGAACUCGGGAGAAGGAACUCGGCAAAUUGAUACCGUAACUUCGGGAGAAGGUAUGCCCUCUAAGGUUAAGGACUUGCUCCGUAAGCCCCGGAGGGUCGCAGAGAAUAGGUGGCUGCGACUGUUUAUUAAAAACACAGCACUCUGCCAACACGAAAGUGGACGUAUAGGGUGUGACGCCUGCCCGGUGCCGGAAGGUUAAUUGAAGAUGUGCAAGCAUCGGAUCGAAGCCCCGGUAAACGGCGGCCGUAACUAUAACGGUCCUAAGGUAGCGAAAUUCCUUGUCGGGUAAGUUCCGACCCGCACGAAUGGCGUAACGAUGGCCACACUGUCUCCUCCCGAGACUCAGCGAAGUUGAAGUGGUUGUGAAGAUGCAAUCUACCCGCUGCUAGACGGAAAGACCCCGUGAACCUUUACUGUAGCUUUGCAUUGGACUUUGAAGUCACUUGUGUAGGAUAGGUGGGAGGCUUGGAAGCAGAGACGCCAGUCUCUGUGGAGUCGUCCUUGAAAUACCACCCUGGUGUCUUUGAGGUUCUAACCCAGACCCGUCAUCCGGGUCGGGGACCGUGCAUGGUAGGCAGUUUGACUGGGGCGGUCUCCUCCCAAAGCGUAACGGAGGAGUUCGAAGGUUACCUAGGUCCGGUCGGAAAUCGGACUGAUAGUGCAAUGGCAAAAGGUAGCUUAACUGCGAGACCGACAAGUCGGGCAGGUGCGAAAGCAGGACAUAGUGAUCCGGUGGUUCUGUAUGGAAGGGCCAUCGCUCAACGGAUAAAAGGUACUCCGGGGAUAACAGGCUGAUUCCGCCCAAGAGUUCAUAUCGACGGCGGAGUUUGGCACCUCGAUGUCGGCUCAUCACAUCCUGGGGCUGUAGUCGGUCCCAAGGGUAUGGCUGUUCGCCAUUUAAAGUGGUACGUGAGCUGGGUUUAAAACGUCGUGAGACAGUUUGGUCCCUAUCUGCAGUGGGCGUUGGAAGUUUGACGGGGGCUGCUCCUAGUACGAGAGGACCGGAGUGGACGAACCUCUGGUGUACCGGUUGUAACGCCAGUUGCAUAGCCGGGUAGCUAAGUUCGGAAGAGAUAAGCGCUGAAAGCAUCUAAGCGCGAAACUCGCCUGAAGAUGAGACUUCCCUUGCGGUUUAACCGCACUAAAGGGUCGUUCGAGACCAGGACGUUGAUAGGUGGGGUGUGGAAGCGCGGUAACGCGUGAAGCUAACCCAUACUAAUUGCCCGUGAGGCUUGACUCU